AUGCAAGUCGUACGAGAAAGUUGGCUUCGGCCGAUGAGUAAAGUGGCGCACGGGUGAGUAACGCGUGGAUAAUCUGCCCCUCAGUUGGGAAUAACUCAUCGAAAGGUGAGAUAAUACCGAAUAAUGCUGUGAUACCCCGGUUGAACAGUCAAAGGGAGCCUCUGCUUGCAAGCUUUCGCUGAAGGAUGAGUCCGCGUACCAUUAGCUGGUUGGUAGGGUAGUGGCCUACCAAGGCGACGAUGGUUAGCUGGUCUGAGAGGAUGAUCAGCCACACUGGAACUGAGACACGGUCCAGACUCCUACGGGAGGCAGCAGUGAGGAAUCUUGCGCAAUGGGGGAAACCCUGACGCAGCGACGCCGCGUGAGUGAGGAAGGUCUUCGGAUCGUAAAGCUCUGUCAGAUGGAAAGAAAUGCAUGAAGGUCAACAGCCUUCAUGCUUGACGGUACCAUCAGAGGAAGCACCGGCUAACUCCGUGCCAGCAGCCGCGGUAAUACGGGGGGUGCAAGCGUUGUUCGGAAUCAUUGGGCGUAAAGAGCGUGUAGGCGGCUUGAUCAGUCAGAUGUGAAAGCCCUGGGCUCAACCUGGGAAGUGCAUUUGAAACUGUCAUGCUUGAGUAGGGGAGAGGGAAGUGGAAUUCCUGGUGUAGAGGUGAAAUUCGUAGAUAUCAGGAGGAACACCGGUGGCGAAGGCGACUUCCUGGCCCUAUACUGACGCUGAGACGCGAGAGCGUGGGUAGCAAACAGGAUUAGAUACCCUGGUAGUCCACGCCGUAAACGAUGUUCACUAGGUGUUGGGGGUAUUGACCCCCUCAGUGCCGCAGCUAACGCAUUAAGUGAACCGCCUGGGGAGUACGGUCGCAAGACUAAAACUCAAAGGAAUUGACGGGGGGCCCGC
rnacentral:rRNA from 1 species